rnacentral:rRNA from 1 species
CCUACGGGCGGCAGCAGUGGGGAAUAUUGCACAAUGGGGGAAACCCUGAUGCAGCGACGCCACGUGAGUGAAGAAGGAUCUCGGGAUGUAAAGCUCUAUCAGCAGGGAAGAAAAUGACGGUACCUGACUAAGAAGCCCCGGCUAACGACGUGCCAGCAGCCGCGGGAAUACGGACGGGGCAAGCGUUAACCGGAUUGACUGGGGGUAAAGGGAGCGUAGACGGCGCUGCAAGUCCGGAGUGAAAGCCCAUGGCUUAACCAUGGGACUGCUCUGGAAACUGUGGAGCUUGAGUGCGGGAGGGGCAGGCGGAAUUCCUAGUGUAGCGGUGAAAUGCGUAGAUAUUAGGAGGAACACCGGCGGCGACGGCGGCCUGCUGGACCGUAACUGACGUUGAGGCUCGAAAGCGUGGGGAGCAAACAGGAUUAGAUACCCGUGUAGUC